ACGCUCGACACCUACGUGAGGCAGCAGUCGGGAAUAUUGCGCAAUGGAGGAAACUCUGACGCAGUGACGCCGCGUAUGGGAAGAAGGUUUUCGGAUUGUAAACCAUUUUAGACAAGGAAGAAACAAGACAGUACUUGUAGAAUAAGCUCCGGCUAACUACGUGCCAGCAGCCGAGGUAAUCUGAGCGGGCUGGCAAGGC
rnacentral:rRNA from 1 species